rnacentral:rRNA from 1 species
GUCCACGCCGUAAACGAUGAUAGCUCGAUGUCGGCGAUAUACCGUCGGUGUCUAAGAGAAAUCGAUAAGCUAUCCACCUGGGGAGUACGUUCGCAAGAAUGAAACUCAAAGGAAUUGACGGGGGCCCGCACAAGCGGAGGAACAUGUGGUUUAAUUCGAUGAUACGCGAGGAACCUUACCCGGGCUUGAAAGUUAGCGACGGACCUUGAAAUGGGUCUUCUCUUCGGAGCGCGAAACUAGGUGCUGCAUGGUUGUCGU